UUGCACUGGACGACACCCACUGGCAUCACAACACCAGAGUCCUCCAUCAAGAGCACAGAGAACGUGACACCCAUGUCCACGACAGCUUUCAGCCCAACCGCUGCAAAAAUCCAUGGGAACAGCCACGCUUCUCAAGAAACCCAAAAGAUAAGAACAACUGGAAACCUAACCAGACAUCCAAAGGUAAUCGCCUGACUCAUCCAAGAGCAACUCGUGUGGGUAAGCGACAACAAAACCCACCUCAGCACCACUCAGACAUGCACAGUGCUGAGUAUGCACAAGAACAAGACAGCUUACCAUCAGACGACAUGGAACAAGUCAUGAGACAAAUGAAAGAGUUCCUUCAAGGAAAGCUGAACAUGGAUGACCACAAAGUUGAGUCAUGCUCGCUGUGACCAGCGACAGAAAGGAAGGCCGGUGAUCACCUGGUACACCACAUCAGAGAUGACAAGCACCUGUUCAACAACCACCCAGAACGAGCAAGUCUCUCACGGCCAACGGUUGAUGAAAACUCUGAGGUACCAAAGAACAUCACCUCAGUCACCCACCGCUCACUAACAAACUGUCAAGUUAACUCCAACUCCAAGAACCACAUUCCUGUCUGUGUAGCAGCAACCACCCAAGCACAGAAGGUCAGAAAGUCUGCCACAACCAGAAGGCAUCACAAGAGAAAUGCAAUGUAGGAGACAAAGUUUGCACCCCAGCUUCACACAGCCAUGCCAAACUAGCUCCGACUGUCUGCUAAAGAACUUCCUGCCUUGCUGGACUGACCCCCAUUAGAUCAUGGACAUGCCCUCAUCCAAGCCAAGGAUGCAGAGAGCCAGUCUUCACUGACAUACAAGAAAAGGGGGGAGACAACACAGACUGAAACAGAUCUGACCACACAUACACUACACCAUUAACACACACAACAUUACCUAAACACAGAGGUAACCACAUCUACUGAUAACACAGUCAACAAACAUUUUCUUCCCACAAGUAGAAUAUCCAAAUUUUAGCGUAACAUAAAGUUACAUAUGCCCACCAUGAAGAAACAUGCAGCCAUCCUCACAAUAGGUAGAACACCUGACACUAAGUUAAGGUACAUGACACACUAGCUGCACGUGACAUCCUAGCUCAACAGUAGUUGUAAGCCAUGCUAGGAAAAUCCACAGCAGCUUUGUUUUGUUUUGUUUUGUUCUUCUUUUACCUAUCCUGAUUCCUUCCCCUCUUUCCUUAGUAGGUGAAACACCUAGACACCCUGCAAGGGUCAAAGGUCUGAUAUUAGGAUUGACUCACCACACCUAAUAUCCGCCAGUAAUUCUAAACUGAAUGGAAGCCAGAGAGCUCCAUGCACGAUAGGUCAAUUCAUUUCAUUGCAAAUGAUGUUACUAGAAAAUUAACGGUAAACGUUUUAAAUUAAGACAACCUAGAAGAACCAAACAAAGUUAUCCGCAAAAUUUGAUUGACGAAUCAACGUACGGAACCAAAUUAGAACAAUUUCCAGAUUGAA